rnacentral:rRNA from 1 species
AAAAGAAACCAACAGGGAUUGCCCCAGUAACGGCGAGUGAAGCGGCAACAGCUCAAAUUUGAAAUCUGGCCCUCGGGUCCGAGUUGUAAUUUGUAGAGGAUGCUUUUGGCGAGGUGCCUUCCGAGUUCCCUGGAACGGGACGCCAUAGAGGGUGAGAGCCCCGUCUGGUCGGAUACCAAGCCUCUGUAAAGCUCCUUCGACGAGUCGAGUAGUUUGGGAAUGCUGCUCAAAAUGGGAGGUAUAUGUCUUCUAAAGCUAAAUAUUGGCCAGAGACCGAUAGCGCACAAGUAGAGUGAUCGAAAGAUGAAAAGCACUUUGAAAAGAGGGUUAAAAAGUACGUGAAAUUGUUGAAAGGGAAGCGCCUAUGACCAGACUUGGGCCCGGUGAAUCAUCCAGCGUUCUCGCUGGUGCACUUUGCCGGGCACAGGCCAGCAUCAGUUUGGCGCGGGGGAUAAAGACUUUGGGAAUGUGGCUCCCUCGGGAGUGUUAUAGCCCAUUGUGUAAUACCCUGCGCCGGACUGAGGUACGCGCAUCGCAAGGAUGCUGGCGUAAUGGUCAUCAGCGACCCGUCUUGAAACACGGACCAAGGAGUCGUCUUCGUAUGCGAGUGUUCGGGUGUCAAACCCCUACGCGUAAUGAAAGUGAACGCAGGUGAGAGCUUCGGCGCAUCAUCGACCGAUCCUGAUGUUCUCGGAUGGAUUUGAGUAAGAGCAUACGGGGCCGGACCCGAAAGAAGGUGAACUAUGCCUGUAUAGGGUGAAGCCAGAGGAAACUCUGGUGGAGGCUCGCAGCGGUUCUGACGUGCGAAUCGAUCGUCAAAUAUGGGCAUGGGGGCGAAAGACUAAUCGA